UUGGACACAGUGUGCAUGUGAAUUUUAGUGAGACCACGGAAUUAUCUAAUUUCUAUGAUUAUUUUUGUUAUUUCUUGUAUUAAAAAGUGUUUGUGAGUGCCAUUCGUGAAGAUACAGUGUUAGAGUGACGAAAUAAGGACACCACUAAUUUCAAAAUGAAGUCGGAAUACCUGAAAAUGUUCCAAGCAAGCGCCCCCGACAAAUGAGAUGAGAGAUUAUCCGGCGUUUUUAUAGUCAGAAAGUGUGUGUUAAAAGUGUACAUCAAAUACCAAGUCAUUAGUCGCCUGAAGAGAAUAUUUCGGUCCCAUGGCAUGGCGUGAAUCUUUAUAGCCACCAAACCGGAUUUAGCCGGUUUGCUCCGCUUGCGACUUUUUGAGAGCUUAACAUGCCAAGGACGGCGGGUGGCUCGGGCAGCGUUGCGGGCG